GAAAGGAACAGAGAAGUUAAAUGAUGGCCAAAAAAGGAACUACCACCAAUCUUCGUGGAUGUGACACGUGCCUCAGAAAAUACGCACAAGAGAGCAAGGCCAAAAACCCAGAACUGUUGAGGUCAACAAAAUUAAGGAAGCAUGUUGCUACCUUAUGUCAGCUUCUCGACCUGAAUAAUCAGGAACUCGAGCAAGUUGCUCGUUUUAUGGGACACGACAUUAGAGUCCAUUGUGAGUUUUAUCGGCAGACCGAUAAAACUUUCCAAGUGGCCAAGAUUGCCAAACUACUGUUUGCGAUGGAACGUGGGACAGAGUCGCUGAAGGGAAAGAGUCUGCAAACCCUGGACUCUGUUAUCACUGGAAGAGCACAUGCAGCCACCUCAACCAAAGGUCUGAAAGGUGGCAAAAAGAGAAGACCAGAUCCAGGGAGACGACAGGAAGCUCAAGAUGAAUGAGAAGUGCCACAUUCAGCUGUAGCAACGAGAUCUGAUGAUGAAGAUGAUGGAGGCGGUAACAGUACCAACUUGGACACUGAAAACACAGGCACCUACAAAAGGCCACCGAAGAUGCAGUCAAUUAAAGAAAGAAAUUAUGCUGAUGACGCUGAUGACGACAUGAGUGAUGUUUCUGGCAGUGAAUAUGGCGAUGGAGGGGUGUGCCAUCAGACAGUUAAGAAAACUGUCAAGAAAAAAAAGACAAUGUUGGGAAGACAUG